rnacentral:rRNA from 1 species
AAUCAACGCUGGCGGCGUGCCUCAGACAUGCAAGUCGAACGCGAAAGCCCCCUUCGGGGGGCAAGUAGAGUGGCGCACGGGUGAGUAACACGUAGGUAAUCUACCUUUGGAUGGGGAAUAACAACCGGAAACGGUUGCUAAUACCGCAUAAUGCAGCGGCACCUAAUGGUGACAGUUGUUAAAGCGGGGGAUCGCAAGACCUCGCGUCUGAAGAGGAGCCUGCGGCGGAUUAGCUAGUUGGUAAGGUAACGGCUUACCAAGGCUUUGAUCCGUAGCCGGCCUGAGAGGGCGGUCGGCCACACUGACACUGACAUACGGGUCAGACUCCUACGGGAGGCAGCAGUCGGGAAUUUUGGGCAAUGGGCGAAAGCCUGACCCAGCAACGCCGCGUGAAGGAUGAAAUCCCUCGGGAUGUAAACUUCGCAAGAACGGGAAGAAUAAGUAAGAGCCAAUAACUCUUAUGAUGACGGUACUGUUUGUAAGCUCCGGCUAACUCCGUGCCAGCAGCCGCGGU